UCCAUAUCUACUUCAGCUCCAUCAGAAAGUCUGUUUUCCAACAGAGGAGAAGAAACCUGAUGCACAUCUUUAUUCAAUGGGACAGUUUGAUCUCUUUCCACAACUCUAACAGCAGCAGCACGAGCCAAUGCAGCCAAAUUCCUCUCAAGAUUACGUACACCAGCCUCUCUGGUGUAUCUUUGAACCACAAGUUUAACCAUAGCCUCUGGAAUUUGAAGAAAUUCAGCGCUUAGCCCAUGCUGUUCCAAAACUCGUG
rnacentral:misc_RNA from 1 species